rnacentral:rRNA from 1 species
UACGGAGGCUGCGAGCGUCACUCGGAUUCACUGGGCGUAAAGGGAGCGCAGGCGGAUUAGUGUGUUAGGUGUGAAAUACCGGGGCUUAACUUCGGUGCUGCGCCUAAAACUAUUAAUCUAGAGACUUGGAGGGGUAAGCGGAAUUUGUGGAGUAGCGGUAAAAUGCGUAGAUAUCACAAGGAACACCGAUGGCGAAGGCAGCUUACUGGACAAGAUCUGACGCUCAGGCUCGAAAGCGUGGGUAGCAAAAGGG